rnacentral:tRNA from 1 species
GCCGGGAUGGUGAAAUUGGCAAACACGUAAGAUUCAGGAUCUUAUGCCCGUUCGGGCUUGGGGGUUCAAGUCCCCCUCUCGGCA